rnacentral:rRNA from 1 species
GGACUACCGGGGUUUCUAAUCCUGUUUGCUCCCCACGCUUUCGUGCCUCAGUGUCAGUCUGGGUCCAGGAGGCCGCCUUCGCCACUGGUGUUCCUUCCGAUCUCUACGCAUUUCACCGCUACACCGGAAAUUCCACCUCCCUCUACCCGACUCUAGUAUGACAGUAUUGAAUGCAAUUCCCAGGUUAAGCCCGGGGCUUUCACAUCCAACUUAACAUACCACCUACGCACCCUUUACGCCCAGUAAUUCCGAUUAACGCUUGCACCCUCUGUAUUACCGCGGCUGCUGGCAC